UCAAAUUUGAAAUCUGGCCCUCGGGUCCGAGUUGUAAUUUGUAGAGGAUGCUUUUGGUGCGGUGCCUUCCGAGUUCCCUGGAACGGGACGCCUUAGAGGGUGAGAGCCCCGUACGGUUGGACGCCUAGCCUCUGUAAAGCUCCUUCGACGAGUCGAGUAGUUUGGGAAUGCUGCUCUAAAUGGGAGGUAUAUUUCUUCUAAAGCUAAAUACUGGCCAGAGACCGAUAGCGCACAAGUAGAGUGAUCGAAAGAUGAAAAGCACUUUGAAAAGAGGGUUAAAUAGCACGUGAAAUUGUUGAAAGGGAAGCGUUUAUCACCAGACUUUUUCUGGGGGGAUCAUCCGGUGUUCUCACCGGUGCACUUCCCCCAGUGGAGGCCAGCAUCGGUUUUCGGAGGGGGAUAAAAGCUUCGGGAAUGUGACUCCCUCGGGAGUGUUAUAGCCCGUUGCAUAAUACCCUUCUGGGGACCGAGGUUCGCGCAUCUGCAAGGAUGCUGGCAUAAUGGUGAUCAACGACCCGUCUUGAAACACGGACCAAGG
rnacentral:rRNA from 1 species